rnacentral:rRNA from 1 species
AUUGAACGCUGGCGGCAGGCCUAACACAUGCAAGUCGAGCGGGGUUUUCGGACCUAGCGGCGGACGGGUGAGUAAUGCGUAGGAAGCUACCCGAUAGAGGGGGAUACCAGUUGGAAACGACUGUUAAUACCGCAUAAUGUCUACGGACCAAAGUGUGGGACCUUCGGGCCACAUGCUAUCGGAUGCGCCUACGUGGGAUUAGCUAGUUGGUGGGGUAAUGGCUCACCAAGGCGACGAUCCCUAGCUGGUUUGAGAGGAUGAUCAGCCACACUGGAACUGAGACACGGUCCAGACUCCUACGGGAGGCAGCAGUGGGGAAUAUUGGACAAUGGGCGCAAGCCUGAUCCAGCCAUGCCGCGUGUGUGAAGAAGG